CGCCCCCCUCGACCUAGGACCUCAAGGUUUCUGUCUCUCUGCGUCUCUCUCUCUCUCUCUCUCUCUCUCUCUCUCUCUCUCUCUCUCUCUCUCUCUCUCUCUCUCUCUCUCUGUGUGCGUGUGUGUGUGUGCAGCCCUUCGGCCGGAGAACUACUCCGGCAGCGCUCGCUGGUAUCAUGAAACCAUUGCCUCCGGGCGAACGUGAAGUGUUGCGAUACUUAUCCGGAACUCCUGGACAUGCGGAUUCUGAUUGCGGCGGAAUCUUCUGCAUUUUCUCGGGUUGAUGGGAGCAUCGUUCUGGAAGAUGGGCAGAUUUCGGUCUUUCUGGCGUCCAGAUGAUCGGUUUUCUUAGCGGCAAGAUCGCUCUGUCCGAUCUUUCUUUUAAGGAAACGGUGAUGGCUCUGGCUAGACGGAUAUUGGCCGAUCUUUUGGGCGUUCUCUCAUAAUAACUCUUGUGUGGAAAACUUUGGCCAUUAUCUGAGAGCUCGAUCUCCCUUCUUAUUUUUUCCCAUUUUUCCUCUUUGUUCACCUUAUCUCUACCUUCAUCUGUUUCAGAACCACGAUUAUUUACCGCGUAAUAUUUUUGGUUAACAAGUUGGCUGUUUCACAUUUCAGGUCCAAUGCUAUCUUAGACCAUUUCGACCCUCAGUUUCGUCUCGGUUUUAGAAAUCAUUUUCUGCUUCUAAUCUUCUUACGUGGUUUCGCUAAAUUUUGCUUCCUUAUUACUGGAUAGAAAUCGUAAAUUUGGUUAGGGAUUCUCUAAUUGGCGCUGAGGAUUUAACUUGCGGAAUGAUUUCCAAUGUCGCUGAAGUUUUGUUUUGGUAGCCGGGUUUUGUUUUUUCCCCUUGUCUUUUAAUUCGCGUUGUUCGAAGAAAAGCAACACAUUUUGUAAUUCACCCAUCUUUCUGUGUUUCUGCUAUGUAUUAUAAAAUAAAAUGGCUUCCUCCUUA